CCUACGGGGGGCAGCAGUGAGGAAUAUUGGUCAAUGGGCGGGAGCCUGAACCAGCCAAGUCGCGUGAGGGACGACGGUCCUAUGGAUUGUAAACCUCUUUUGUCGGGGAACAAAGGCGCCCACGGGUGGGCGGAUGAGUGUACCCGAAGAAAAAGCAUCGGCUAACUCCGUGCCAGCAGCCGCGGUAAUACGUAGGGAGCAAGCGUUGUCCGGAAUUACUGGGUGAAAAGGGAGCGUAGGCGGGGAUGCAAGUUGGGUGUCAAAACUACCGGCUCAACCGAUAGUCGCACUCAAAACUGCAACUCUUGAGUGAAGUAGAGGCAGGCGGAAUUCCUAGUGUAGCGGUGAAAUGCGUAGAUAUUAGGAGGAACACCAGUGGCGAAGGCGGCCUGCUGGGCUUUUACUGACGCUGAGGCUCGAAAGUGUGGGGAGCAAACAGGAUUAGAUACCCCUGUAGUC
rnacentral:rRNA from 1 species